rnacentral:rRNA from 1 species
UGUAUAAUGGGUCAGCGACUUAUAUUCUGUAGCAAGGUUAACCGAAUAGGGGAGCCGAAGGGAAACCGAGUCUUAACUGGGCGUUAAGUUGCAGGGUAUAGACCCGAAACCCGGUGAUCUAGCCAUGGGCAGGUUGAAGGUUGGGUAACACUAACUGGAGGACCGAACCGACUAAUGUUGAAAAAUUAGCGGAUGACUUGUGGCUGGGGGUGAAAGGCCAAUCAAACCGGGAGAUAGCUGGUUCUCCCCGAAAGCUAUUUAGGUAGCGCCUCGUGAAUUCAUCUCCGGGGGUAGAGCACUGUUUCGGCAAGGGGGUCAUCCCGACUUACCAACCCGAUGCAAACUGCGAAUACCGGAGAAUGUUAUCACGGGAGACACACGGCGGGUGCUAACGUCCGUCGUGAAGAGGGAAACAAC